GUUUUCUGCUUGUGUUUAUAUUUUCAGAAGGGGGCUGAAGAGCUAUGCCCAGACUGGAGCACGAGUCUGCUUGCUGGUGUGUUUCUCAGUCCAGUUUGAUUUUUUAAAGGUACCCUCCAUGGGACAGAACUCUGCUUACAAACUUUAAAACUGGAUGAUGCAAAAAUUACCUGCACAGCAGAGGAGGACAACGAACCAUAAAGGGGGCUCAAGAUCUGCAUAUUCAACAAGCUUCCCAAGGGAUUUUGAUGGAUUCAGAACCACCCUCUACAAAUCCCUUCUAACCACAACAAAAUGGAUGGGCUGAGUGUUCAUAUUGCCUCACCUUUCAUCAAAGCACCAUCUGGGAACCAGAACUUGGCAUUUGAGAAAAAUCAGAGAUGACUAAGAAUAAGAACAAUCUCAUCAGGAGAAGAGCCGUUGAUCUCCUGUUCCUCUUCUAGAAGAAUUGAGAACAGAAAGGAUCAUUAAACAUCACCUACUCCAAAUGCAUUCGUUUCCAGAACUCCACAAGCAAGGGCAGAGCCCAGG
rnacentral:lncRNA from 1 species